rnacentral:rRNA from 1 species
AAUUUUGGACAAUGUGCGCAAGCCUGAUCCCGCCAUGCCGCGUGAGUGAAGAAGGCCUUCGGUCUGUAAAGCUCUUCCGGACGGAACGAAGUCGCCCAGGCUAAUACCCUGACCUGAUGACCAUACCGCCAUAAGGUUCCCCCGCUAACUACGUGCCCGCCGCCGCGGUAAUACGUAGGGUGCGAGCGUUAAUCGGAAUUACUGGGCGUAAAGCGUGCGCAGGCGGUUGAUUAAGACAGGCGUGAAAUCCCCGGGCCUAACCUGGGAACUGCGCUUGUGACUGGUCAGCUAGAGUACGGCAGAGGGGGGUGGAAUUCCACGUGUAGCAGUGAAAUGCGUAGAGAUGUGGAGGAACACCGAUGGCGAAGGCAGCCCCCUGGGCCGAUACUGACGCUCAUGCACGAAAGCGUGGGUAGCAAACAGG